UACGGGGGGGGCAAGCGUUGUUCGGAAUUACUGGGCGUAAAGGGCUCGUAGGCGGCCAACUAAGUCGGAUGUGAAAUCCCCAGGCUUAACCUGGGAACUGCAUCCGAUACUGGAUGGCUUGAAUCCGGGAGAGGGAUGCAGAAUUCCAGGUGUAACGGUGAAAUGCGUAGAUAUCUGGAGGAAUACCGGUGGCGAAGGCGGCAUCCUGGACCGGCAUUGACGCUGAGGAGCGAAAGCUAGGGUAGCAAACGGG
rnacentral:rRNA from 1 species